UUUUUCUAAAGAUUGUGGAUUUGAUUUCAUCAAGGACGCAUGAACUGUCCGCACAACAAGUCAAGCAGCUGGUUGAAGACGCGGUCUACCGACAUCUAAGUUGGAUAGUUUUCUGGGGGAGUGUGUUGGGAGCUUUUGUUGGCUGUGCGGCCGAGCUUGCCUCUGUUUACAUUAACGGCACGUGACUUGUCAAAUGGCUUGGAAAUAAUGCGUUAGGUCACUACGUGGCUAACUUUUAAAUGAAAGCCGGAUGAUCGCUAUGAAAGAUGAACCCUCUGAGCCACAGUGUUUGUCAGGGAACGAUUUGGCCAGUUUAGCCGGUUACUAAGAGUGCUACAAUGGCAUGUACACAUCGACGCCCCAUUGAUUUCCACAGCAAAGUAAACACGCUAUUGUCCUAAAUUGGCCUUAUCUAGGCUCAUGAUGACAAAAUGUAAACAUUUGUAUUUAAUUACAGAAAAUUAAAAAAACGUUAAUAUGUGAAGGAAUCAGAGUUCCAUAAAGAACAAAGAAAAAGUUAGGAAUUAAAGCUUAUAAAUCAUUUUCAACAA